rnacentral:rRNA from 1 species
UACGUAGGGGGCAAGCGUUGUCCGGAUUUAUUGGGCGUAAAGAGCGUGUAGGCGGUUUGGUAGGUCCGCUGUGAAAACUCGAGCUCAACCUCGAGACGCCGGUGGAAACCAUCAGACUAGAGUCCGGAAGAGGAGAGUGGAAUUCCUGGAUGUAGCGGUGAAAUGCGCAGAUAUCAGGAAGAACACCCGUGGCUAAGGCGGCUCUCUAGUACGGUACUGACGCUGAGAGCGAAAGCGUGGGGAGCGAACAGG